rnacentral:ncRNA from 2 species
AAGCUGGUGGGCGCAGCUGGUUCGCCCCGUCCGCCAGACGGGAUGCGUCGCAAGAGGGAACCCGGUGGAAAUCCGGGACUGCCCCGCAGCGGUGAGCGGGAACGACCGCCGUCAUCACGCACUGGGUCCGACGAAACGGGCCUGGGAAGCGACGGCCACUAGGUGUCCUCUUCGAGGGCGUGCCCGCGAGUCCGAAGACCUGCCAACUGCCCGCGCGCGGA